rnacentral:lncRNA from 1 species
GACAGGAAUGGAACAAUAGAGUUUUUCAAAGAGAACAGCCAAUCUGAAAUAUGAAGAGAAAAAAAAAUCAGAGAAUGACUGAAGAUGAGAGCUUGCUCAGGAAGAAGAGGGAGUACUCUGAGGGGGUGACAAGUAUGUCUACAAUCAGCAGCUGGUGACACAAGCUCAGGAAGACAGUUGUGCAGAGCAGGAGGGCUGACUCCUGGGGAUAGAAGGUUGCAGGCUGAAGAAAGCUGUUUCAGUUUCAAAGUGCAUCUGGAGAAUUCUCCUUUAGUUUCAGACUAUAAGCUAAUACUGAAGAUAAAGGAGGGGCAUACUAUUUUCCGUGCUACAUUUCUUUCUAAAUAAUCAUUCAAGAAAGUAUAACAAAAUAUCUUUGCCUUUUCAAUCGAGUGGUAUAUGAUGAAUGUCUAAGCUUCUAUUGGAAAUGCAUAUUUGCAUAUUUGAAUUACUUCAACAUUAAUACAGUCAAAAGGAAUGAACAAACUGUGCCAAAUUUUUCAGAAAUCCAAGAGUGUAAGAAAUGAAAAAUAUUUCUUGGAUAUAAUAACUUUUAAAGAGAAUUUGUAAGACAAUUGCAGUGAAACAGUCAUGGUUAAAAGAGAGAUGCCCAUGGGCCAAAGGAUAGGAUGGAAAACUGACCAGAAUGUGGGAAAUGAAAAGUAGGAAGACCCAACAAAUUUUGCUCUUUAAAAAA